rnacentral:rRNA from 1 species
GAUGAACGCCGGCGGCGUGCCUAAUACAUGCAAGUCGAGCGAAUGGAUUAAGAGCUUGCUCUUAUGAAGUUAGCGGCGGACGGUUGAGUAACUCGUGGGUAACCUGCCCAUAAGACUGGGAUAACUCCGGGAAACCGGGGCUAAUACCGGAUAACAUUUUGAACCGCAUGGUUCGAAAUUGAAAGGCGGCUUCGGCUGUCACUUAUGGAUGGACCCGCGUCGCAUUAGCUAGUUGGUGAGGUAACGGCUCACCAAGGCAACGAUGCGUAGCCGACCUGAGAGGGUGAUCGGCCACACUGGGACUGAGACACGGCCCAGACUCCUACGGGAGGCAGCAGUAGGGAAUCUUCCGCAAUGGACGAAAGUCUGACGGAGCAACGCCGCGUGAGUGAUGAAGGCUUUCGGGUCGUAAAACUCUGUUGUUAGGGAAGAACAAGUGCUAGUUGAAUAAGCUGGCACCUUGACGGUACCUAACCAGAAAGCCACGGCUAACUACGUGCCAGCAGCCGCAGUAA